rnacentral:rRNA from 1 species
UACGUAGGGGGCAAGCGUUGUCCGGAUUUAUUGGGCGUAAAGAGCUCGUAGGCGGCUUGUCGCGUCGACUGUGAAAACCCGCGGCUCAACCGUGUGGCGGGCAGUUGAUACGGGCAGGCUAGAGUUCGGUAGGGGAGACUGGAAUUCCUGGUGUAGCGGUGAAAUGCGCAGAUAUCAGGAGGAACACCGAUGGCGAAGGCAGGUCUCUGGGCCACUACUGACGCUGAGAAGCGAAAGCAUGGGGAGCGAACAGG